UACGAGAGGUCUCAAGCGUUGUUCGGAUUCAUUGGGCGUAAAGGGUGCGUAGGCGGCGCGGUAAGUCGGGUGUGAAAUCUCGGAGCUUAACUCCGAAACUGCAUUCGAUACUGCCGUGCUUGAGGACUGGAGAGGAGACUGGAAUUUACGGUGAGCGGUGAAAUGCGUAGAUAUCGUGAAGGAAGACCAGUGGCGAAGGCGGGUCUCUGGACAGUUCCUGACGCUGAGGCACGAAGGUCAGGGGAGCAAACGGG
rnacentral:rRNA from 1 species